AGGAUAAACGCUGGCGGCGUGCCUAACACAUGCAAGUCGAACGUCCUUUUCCGCUUCGGUGGGAGAGGGAGUGGCGGACGGGUGAGUAACACAUGGGUGACCUGCCCCGAAGUGAGGGAUACCGGCGAGAAAUCGCCGACAAGCCCGCAUACGUUCGCUCUGGUUGUGCGGAGCGAGCAAAGUUUCACGCGAGUGAGACGCUUUGGGAUGGGCCUGUGGCCGAUUAGCUAGUUGGUGGGGGAAGAGCCUACCAAGGCGACGAUCGGUAGCUGGUCUGAGAGGACGAUCAGCCACACUGGGAUUGAGAACGGCCCAGACUCCUACGGGGGGCAGCAGUGAGGAAUUUUCCGCAAUGGGCGCAAGCCUGACGGAGCAACGCCGCGUGCAGGAGGACGCUUUUCGGAGUGUAAACUGCUUUUCUGUGGGACGAGAAUGGACGGUACCACGAGGAAGAAGCCCCGGACUAACUACGUGCCAGCAGCCGCGGU
rnacentral:rRNA from 1 species